rnacentral:rRNA from 1 species
AACGAACGCUGGCGGCAGGCCUAAAACAUGCAAGUCGAACGAACCUUCGGGUUAGUGGCGCACGGGUGCGUAACGCGUGGGAAUGUGCCUCUGGGUGCGGAACAACGUCGGGAAACUGACGCUAAUACCGCAUAAUAUCUACGGAUCAAAGAUUUAUCGCCCAGAGAUCAGCCCGCGUCUGAUUAGGUAGUUGGUAGGGUAAUGGCCUACCAAGCCGACGAUCAGUAGCUGGUCUGAGAGGAUGAUCAGCCACACUGGAACUGAGACACGGUCCAGACUCCUACGGGAGGCAGCAGUUAGGAAUAUUGGACAAUGGGCGAAAGCCUGAUCCAGCCAUGCCGCGUGAGUGAAGAAGGCCUUAGGGUUGUAAAGCUCUUUCGGCUGUGAAGAUAAUGACAGUAGCAGAAGAAGAAGCCCCGGCUAAAUUCGUGCCAGCCGCCGCCGUAA